rnacentral:rRNA from 1 species
UACGGGGGGAGCAAGCGUUGUUCGGAUUUACUGGGCGUAAAGGGCGCGUAGGCGGCACCGCAAGUCGACUGUGAAAUCUCCGGGCUUAACUCGGAAAGGUCAGCCGAUACUGCGGGGCUAGAGUGCAGAAGGGGCAACUGGAAUUCUCGGUGUAGCGGUGAAAUGCGUAGAUAUCGAGAGGAACACCUGCGGCGAAGGCGGGUUGCUGGGCUGACACUGACGCUGAUGUGCGAAAGCUAGGGGAGCGAACGGG